rnacentral:tRNA from 4 species
GCGCCCAUAGCUCAGGGGACAGAGCAACUGCCUUCUAAGCAGUAGGUCGCAGGUUCAAAUCCUGCUGGGCGCGCCA